UGGGGAAUUUUGGACAAUGGGGGAAACCCUGAUCCAGCCAUCCCGCGUGUGCGAUGAAGGCCUUCGGGUUGUAAAGCACUUUUGGUAGGAAAGAAACGUCAUGGGUUAAUACCCCGUGAAACUGACGGUACCUGCAGAAUAAGCACCGGCUAACUACGUGCCAGCAGCCGCGGUAAUACGUAGGGUGCAAGCGUUAAUCGGAAUUACUGGGCGUAAAGCGUGCGCAGGCGGUUCGGAAAGAAAGGUGUGAAAUCCCAGAGCUCAACUUUGGAACUGCAUUUUUAACUACCUGGCUAGAGUGUGUCAGAGGGAGGUGGAAUUCCGCGUGUAGCAGUGAAAUGCGUAGAUAUGCGGAGGAACACCGAUGGCGAAGGCAGCCUCCUGGGAUAACACUGACGCUCAUGCACGAAAGCGUGGGGAGCAAACAGG
rnacentral:rRNA from 1 species